CUGGAUUAAUAAAAUAGUGCUUCGGGCAGUGAAAGAGCAAAGCUUGUAUAAGUUUCAGCGAUAUGUGCCUAUACAUUAGAUAUAUCGAUGAUAUACUUGUAUGUUGGGAAGAUAAUCAGCAGUUGGAGGAUUUUGCGAAUGAACUAACAAUGCAGCGAUAUGGCUUGUCAUUGAAAAGAGACCAACGAAGUGACCAAUCUGUGCAUUUCCUAUACAUCAAGAUAGAUUUAGUGGAAGGAAGGCUAAAAACCAGUGUCUACCAUAAGCCAACCUAUGAAGCUGUUCCUAUACCUAGAUGGUCAAAUGACCCAAAUAGUUACAAGCGGUGACUUUUCGAAGUUUUUAUAGAAGAGCUUUGAAUUAUUGCACUGAUAAUGAGGACCUAAUGACGGAAUUAAGAUACAUUUCAGAAGUGGGUAAGAAGCAUGAGUAUAGCAAUGGAUAUCUUAUGAAAAUCUUGGAGCAGGUUAAAAGUAUGGGCACUUUAAGAGAAUGUAAUGAAGAG
rnacentral:lncRNA from 1 species